rnacentral:rRNA from 1 species
UAGGCCCUACGGGAGGCAGCAGUGGGGAAUAUUGCGCAAUGGGCGAAAGCCUGACGCAGCGACGCCGCGUGAGGGAUGAAGGACUUCGGAUCGUAAACCUCUGUCAGCAGGGAAGAACGGUCACUGUGCUAAUCAGCAGUGAAUUGACGGUACCUGCAAAGGAAGCACCGGCUAACUCCGUGCCAGCAGCCGCGGUAAUACGGAGGGUGCGAGCGUUAAUCGGAAUUACUGGGCGUAAAGCGCUCGUAGGCGGUAUGUCAAGUCAAGGGAGAAAUCCCCGCGCUCAACGC